GCAUCGAUGAAGAACGCAGCGAAAUGCGAUAAGUAGUGUGAAUUGCAGAAUUCAGUGAAUCAUCGAAUCUUUGAACGCACAUUGCGCCCCUUGGUAUUCCAUGGGGCAUGCCUGUUCGAGCGUCAUUUGUACCUUCAAGCUCUGCUUGGUGUUGGGUGUUCGUCUCGCCUCUGCGUGUAGACUCGCCUCAAAACAAUUGGCAGCCGGCGUAUUGAUUUCGGAGCGCAGUACAUCUCGCGCUUUGCACUCAUAACGACGACGAUCCAAAAGUACAUUUUUACACUCUUGACCUCGGAUCAGGUAGGGAUACCCGCUGAACUUAAGCAUAUCAAUAAGCGGAGGA
rnacentral:rRNA from 1 species